rnacentral:rRNA from 1 species
AAAGGAAUAGACGGGGGCCCGCACAAGCGGAGGAACAUGUGGUUUAAUUCGAUGAUACGCGAGGAACCUUACCCGGGCUUAAAUUGCUUCUGAAUAUAGUGGAAACAUUAUCGCCGCAAGGCAGAAGUGAAGGUGCUGCAUGGUUGUCGUCAGCUCGUGCCGUGAGGUGUCGGCUUAAGUGCCAUAACGAGCGCAACCCUUAUCUUUAGUUACUAACAGGUCAUGCUGAGGACUCUAGAGAGACUGCCGUCGUAAGAUGUGAGGAAGGUGGGGAUGACGUCAAAUCAGCACGGCCCUUACGUCCGGGGCUACACACGUGUUACAAUGGGAGGUACAGCAGGCAGCUACCUGGUGACAGGAUGCUAAUCUCUAAAGCCUCUCUCAGUUCGGAUCGAAGUCUGCAACCCGACUUCGUGAAGCUGGAUUCGCUAGUAAUCGCGCAUCAGCCAUGGCGCGGUGAAUACGUUCCCGGGCCUUGUACACACCGCCCGU